GACAUCGUCAAACGAAUAUACGUUGUUUGACAAUAUCCACAUUCAGCGAAGAAGAAGGGAUUAUUAAUGCGUCUUGUAAGUGUUCUUCUAGAAACUGAAGUUGUAACAUUUACACAGUAUUUGCAGUUUACUUCAAGUUUGUUGUAAGGGAAUCUGCCAUUGAAAGGCAGUGACUAAAUUACAGAUAUCUAAGAACGAGGCCGCAAGAAUCAUGGUGCUUCAAGUCCAGAGCGAUCCAGAAGGCCGCUUGACUAAAGGGAAUGGGAACACUCGACGAGACCAUGGACUUCUGAGGGACGGUGGAAGCAACGACGAAGGCUGCAAAGAGCACAGCUUGCCGGAGUAUUUCCUUUAUGGCAAUGGCACAAACAUAGGCGGAUCAGGUCCGCUUCGAUCAAAUACCACAGAUAGGAUCAAUGAUGUUAACCAAGGAAUGGUAUCCACAGGCCCUGGAAGAACAGUAUCUACCCUACCUGAGAGGGCGCUUCUACUGGAGGAUACUGGUAGGGAAUUGAGGAAAGUGGCAGACCUGUUCAUCAUCACCAGGAACACUGGACAUGAACUGAGAAGGAUAGCUGACGAGGUUUAUUUCAAAUUUGUCGGGUCGGAAACUCACCCACCUGAUGUCAUUCUGUUUGAGGAUAUGGCUGAGAGAACACUGCAGAGAAGAAAAUCAUGACUAGGCCAAAUAACCCAUUAACUCAAACUCAAACUAUUCAGGAAAAUGCUGCAGUAAAUUUAUAAAGAAUUAUACUUUUUUAUUGUGAACAUUACAUGUUCAAUGCCUUGACAGUAAGUGCACUCAUCAUGACAGUUUUUGAGCAGGCCUCCAUGUAAACCUGUCCACAGUGCCUUUAAUAAGUGUACUUAUAAUAAAAGUUUUUAAGCAGAUAGAAUAGACAAUACUGUAUUCGUUUUGUAUUAUAUUUUUGUAUAUUCACCUUAUAAAUAUUCAUUCAUUAUUUACAACCGAUUCACAACAUGAUCUCAAACAGCUCAAACACUCGCCUUGAUUUUGAGUCUGUGAAUGGCAUGAACUGAACGCGUGAUGGCGCUAGUACUGUUAUUACCAUGUGGAGAAUGAAGCUGUUCUAACUCUGACAUGAAUCGUACAGAGAUAAGUAGGAGCGCCGAUUGUACCAAUAUUACAUAGAACAAAUAUUUGUUAUAUAAUCAUUAUUCAUUAAAUAAUAACUAGAUAAGGGCCCGAAUUCACAAACGUGGAUAAGUAGUGUUUAAGAGUUUAAAGUACACAUUAUGAUUGUGAUGCACACAUCAGUCUCUUUUUUUUAUAUUGUUUUUGGAGUGUAAAAGUCAUGCCGGUUCCUGAUUAUUUUAAAUAGACUAUAUAUUUUGACAUCACAUGUAUAUAAACAAAAUACAUUUUCUUUAUUUCAUUACUGAAAAUAAUCCUUGCCUUCAUUCACUUGUUUCAUGCAUUAUUAGUGUAAUUUUGAGUAAAGAUUUGUUUUUAACUGUAUUGUAAAUUUUGAUAGAACCUGCAUGAAUGAAACAAUAAAUGCAGCGCAAUAUUUUCA